AUUGAACGCUGGCGGCAGGCUUAACACAUGCAAGUCGAGCGGGGUGAUGGUGCUUGCACUAGCACUUAGCGGUGGACGGGGGAGUAAUGCCUAGGAAUCUGCCGAUUAGUGGGGGACAACAUCGCGAAAGGGAUGCUAAUACCGCAUACGUCCUACGAGAGAAAGCAGGGGAUCACUUGUGACCUUGCGCUAAUAGAUGAGCGUAAAACGGAUUAGCUAGUUGGUGGGGUAAAGGCCUACCAAGGCGGCGAUUUGUAGCGGGUCUGAGAGGAUGAUCGGCCACAGUGGGACUGGGACAAGGCCCAGACUCCGACGGGAGGCAGCAGUGGGGAAUAUUGGAGAAUGGGGGGAACCCUGAUCCAGCCAUGCCGCGUGUGUGAAGAAGGCCUUAUGGUUGUAAAGCACUUUAAGCGAGGAGGAGGCUCUUUUGGUUAAUACCCAAGAUAAGUGGACGUUACUCGCAGAAUAAGCACCGGCUAACUCUGUGCCAGCCGCCGCGGUAA
rnacentral:rRNA from 1 species